rnacentral:rRNA from 1 species
UCAUCUGUUGCCAGCAUUUAAGGUGGGGACUCAGAUGAGACUGCCGGUGACAAACCGGAGGAAGGUGGGGACGGACGUCAAGUCAUCAUGGCCCUUAUGUCCUGGGCUACACACGUGCUACAAUGGCCGGUACAGAGUGAAGCGAAACCGCGAGGUGAAGCAAAACGCAGAAAGCCGGUCUCAGUACGGAUUGGAGUCUGAAACUCGACUUCAUGAAGUUGGAAUCGCUAGUAAUCGCGCAUCAGCAUGGCGCGGUGAAUACGUUCCCGGGCCUU